CGGGGAAACAAAUACAGGGAACACUUGCUGCUGAACAAACAAUUUGCUGUAGAAAACAAACUUGAAGGAAACACAAUUGUCCUCAGGACUGAAUAUCUAAAAGCAUACGAGCUAAAUUCCUGGCAUGCUACAUGACUUCCAUUUGCUAUCAAUGACCAUUAGCCAGCAAACCAUUCUCAACUGUGUUGCCAACAGCCUUCUGGGCAUAGAAUCUUC
rnacentral:misc_RNA from 1 species